GUCAUGCUAGACACGUGGUCAGCGCUGCGCGUCGUGGUGGCAGUUGGUGAAGCAACUAUUGGCAGUGUUUUUGUCUCUCAGCACUUGGCAUGAUUGUAAUAUUCUUUAUCUUUGAGGUCUGUGAUGUAACUUGAACUGUAAUUCUCGUGCAGCCUUUUGGCUUCUGGCUUUAAAUAAGCUGUCCGGUUGCCUAUGUAUAGUUUCGCACUAC
rnacentral:rRNA from 1 species